rnacentral:rRNA from 1 species
AUUGAACGCUGGCGGCAUGCCUUACACAUGCAAGUCGAACGGCAGCACGGGAGCAAUCCUGGUGGCGAGUGGCGAACGGGUGAGUAAUGUAUCGGAACGUACCUUUCAGUGGGGGAUAACGUAGCGAAAGUUACGCUAAUACCGCAUAUUCUGUGAGCAGGAAAGCAGGGGAUCGCAAGACCUUGCGCUGAUUGAGCGGCCGAUAUCAGAUUAGCUAGUUGGUGAGGUAAAGGCUCACCAAGGCGACGAUCUGUAGCGGGUCUGAGAGGAUGAUCCGCCACACUGGAACUGAGACACGGUCCAGACUCCUACGGGAGGCAGCAGUGGGGAAUUUUGGACAAUGGGCGCAAGCCUGAUCCAGCCAUGCCGCGUGAGUGA